rnacentral:rRNA from 1 species
AGCAGUAGCCGCGGUAAUACGAAGGGUGCAAGCGUUACUCGGAAUUACUGGGCGUAAAGCGUGCGUAGGUGGUGGUUUAAGUCCGUUGUGAAAGCCCUGGGCUCAACCUGGGAAUUGCAGUGGAUACUGGGUCACUAGAGUGUGGUAGAGGAUAGUGGAAUUUCCGGUGUAGCAGUGAAAUGCGUAGAGAUCGGAAGGAACAUCUGUGGCGAAGGCGACUAUCUGGGCCAACACUGACACUGAGGCACGAAAGCGUGGGGAGCAAACAGGAUUAGAUACCCCAGUAGUCCUGUCUCUUAUACA